UACAGAGGGUGCAAGCGUUAAUCGGAUUUACUGGGCGUAAAGCGUGUGUAGGUGGCUUCCUAAGUCGGUUGUGAAAUCCCUGGGCUCAACCUGGGAAUUGCAGUCGAUACUGGGAAGCUAGAGUUCGGUAGAGGACGGCGGAAUUCCCGGUGUAGCGGUGAAAUGCGUAGAGAUGUGGAGGAACACCUGUGGCGAAGGCGGCAUCCUGGACCGGCAUUGACGCUGAGGCGCGAAAGCUAGGGGAGCAAACAGG
rnacentral:rRNA from 1 species